rnacentral:lncRNA from 1 species
CUCAGGAUGGGAGCGGAAACAGAGCCUCUUGUUCACACUCCACACCCUCAUUUUCCAGCAGUGAGGGUAGACUAUUAAGGCUCUCAUGUCAUCAAGGAUCGAGGCAAUGGGUUAAUGGAGACUCUAGACAUUUGUUUCCUCACCAGUGAAAAUUAAAUGAAGACCCAGGAAUCACUACAGCUAUAGGGAUGAGAAGGACAUUUCAGCAGCUAGAGUGUGGUGGAAAUGGCCCAAGGAGAAGAGUACAAAGCAACAUAAUGGCAGAGAUGAUGUUCAGAUCUCCAGAUAUUGUGUCCCUGUCUCAGAGUCGCCAACAGAACUUAAUUUUUCAUUUCCUUUUGACAAGUGAUGAGCUUGGGCCUCCUUAGCAGCUUCUUUUUCCAUCAAGAAAAUAUUUCUGGACAAAAACAAACCCAUAGCUGGUUGGAAGCAGGGCAUUGGGCCCAGUGUUAAAGAUUUGAAUAAGAAAGAUGCAGAAGAUAUUAAUCAUAGGCUUAUCAAUGCCCCUAGGAGAUCUGUCCCCCUGAUUGAAGCAACUCUGGCCUUUGGAAGUUCAUACCCA